rnacentral:rRNA from 1 species
CAUUUAUGGCUCUAGGAUGGGACUGUACGGUAUCAGUUAGUUGGUGAGGUAAUGGCUCACCAAGACAAUGACACCUAACUGGUUUGAGAGGAUGAUCAGUCACACUGGAACUGAGACACGGUCCAG